CAGAACCUGCUGGUAAUGGAGUUCCCAGGGCAUUUUUACAAACAUCCAAGCUUGGAUGGCCAGUUGACAGUGGUUUUCAGACAGGAGAGAGAGAAGGAGCCCUCCAGACACCCAAAACUUGCAAAGUGGCAUUAGUCCUCAGUUUCUUGACAAGGGACAGAGGGUCUGCUUCCGGGCACAGAGAUGCCCUGUGGGCACAGUUAGUUGUGAAAACUGAAACUCAGAAAUGUCCAGUGUACUCACACAGCUAAUGAGUGGCAGAACCUGGAACCAAAGGCAUGAAAUUCCCCGAGGCAUGCAUGCCCGGUCCUCAUGUAUGGUGUAUACAAAGAUCCACGGAGCUGGGUCACGGAGAGAUGCAGAGUCAAGGUCUAACUCUGCUCCCGUGAGUCUUUUGCUGCUGUGAUGCAAAAGUGUUGAGCAUGUUCUUUCAGAAACUACUGGAAGGCCAGAAGAAAGGAAAGGAAAAGGGAAGUAACUGGCGGCAUCUGCUCGGGUUGUGGCUCCUCCUGUGAAUCUGACAAGCCAGACCACCUGAGAGGAGAACGUCCAGUGAGGGACUGUCUGCAGCAGACUGGCCUGGGGGAGAUUAGCUUAAUUAAGUUAGUUGAUGUGGGAAGGCCCAGCCCUCUGGAGGCAGCACCAUUCAGGAAGCCCUGAACUGUCAGAGUGGAAAAAAAUCAGAUGAGCACAAGGAAGCAAGUCAGUGAAUAUGUGCGUGUUCACCUCUCUGCUCGUGACUGUGGAUGCCUGUGACCAACCAUCUCAGGCUCCUCCUGCCGUCACCAACCACCUCCCCGCAGUGAUGGACUGUAGCUUAGAACUGUGAGAUAAACUAAGCCUUUCCCUGACAAGUUGCUCCUUCUCAGUCAAAAGGAACAUGUGGAGGAAGUGGUUUAUUUAGUCAUACAACUCUCAGGUCCUACUCUAUCACUGAAGGAAGUCAGGGCAGGAACCAGGAGGCAGGAACUGAAGCAGAAGCCAUGGAAGGGUGCCAUCUUGCUCCUCAUGGAUUGUUCAGUCUGCUUUCCUAGUCCACUCAAGACCAUCUGCCCAGGGAUAGCACUGGCCUCCUCCACACCCUCUUCCAUGGACUGGGCCCAUACACACCAAUCAUUGAUUAAGAAAAUGUACAGUGAACUUGCCUAAAGGCCAAUCUGAUUGAUGGAGGCAUUUUCUCAACUGAGGUUCUUCUUCCCAGCUAAUUCUAGCUUGUGUCAAGUUUACAAAAUACCAACCUAGCCAUCAGCAACAGAAGCCAUCAGGAUAUUGUAUCACAGCAACAGAAAUGAAGAAGGACACUGAGCUUGAGAAGGACACAUGGCCUUGCUGUCCUUUAGCUCUGCAUGCUCAAUGAGACACGUAGACCCUUGCUUUUUGGAGCAGGUCACUUUGGAAAACAAUACAGAUUUCCCACCACGAGCCCUACUGGAGACACUACAAGUCAAGCUGCCUAUUACAGAGUUUCCUACCUUAUUAAAAUGUCUUCUAGAAUCUUGAGGAAAUCAUAUGGGAAGCCUGAAGUAGCACAGCACUGUCUUCCUCCACCGUUAGAUGAAAGUUCUGAAAAUAAACAAAAAGUAAAAAGUUCCAGAUCUCUGGCAUUCUGGCGGCUUGAAAACAACAGAUUGCAAUAGGGGAGAGCUGAGGUGGAAAGUCAAGUGGUCCUUGAGGGACUCCGUGUGAAAGGCCUAAGUGCCCAGAUGUGUAAGCAUGUCAAGGCCUGUAGCACCAGGCAUUUCUAGGAGGGUUAUAUUUGCAUGCACAGACUGGAAAAGCCUGGGCAAAUUGGCGCUACACCAUAGCUUGCUUAUUUAUUUCUUUCCCUGUUCAAUGAUGGAGACUUUAAUCUCACAGCCGCUGAAAGAGUAGCUUCCCAGCUAAGUGCCUCAUGUCUGUGGGAGGAAAGAAGGAAUGAAAGGGAAGAGAAAAAAUACUCGGUAAUUACAAAUAUUAAAGGGAUCCACUUGUUUUUGGCAAAUAGUGGGACUUCAUCCCAAGCCGAGACUGUUGACAAUGUGAUAUAUCCCCAUCAAUAUUUAGCUGUUAAAGCAGAGUGAGAAUAUUGGAGGAGUUUCAAAGAUGCUUGAAGACACAGCAGUGUUCCUGGAAUUUAACUCCUGGUGGUGAGUGUGUUUGGCAUAACACAUUGGCUGUCUGAGCUUUGGCAUCUGUGCUAGCAUCUUUGUGAAACAUUACAGUCACACCUCAUGUGUCAAGCACUAGAUUGUGUUACUGAUCAGCAGGCCUGAAGGAAAUGAAAAAGAGCUUGUUAUCAGGGACAAUGGCAAUCUAUCCAAUUCUUAAAAGGAGUGUCAAAGUUCUGGCACAGAAAUGCAAAAAUUACUUUUAAAAGGAGAAUCAAAAACAGAUUAUAUUAAAAAAAAAAAAAAAAAAAGCUAAUCAGUACGUUACCCAAAGAAAUAGGAGGUAAAAAUCAUCAAAGAAGCAUUCCAAAAGAAAAAUGCAGAAAGAAUGGUGAGGGCUAGUUUAAGUAAGAAAGAGGGCCUGUGGGGAGAGCACAGCACAGUGGUAUGAGCCAGCUCAUACCACACAGCUAUCACAUGUGUGCAGUAGUCUAGGCUGGACCUUUUCUUAAAUACUUGCUUGUCAUCUAUAGACACUGGACUUCUUUAGAGAUGCCAAGGGCAAGAUGCAGCAAGUCCCCCAUAGAUUAUAUAUGGUAGCUUUGGCAACAAGUAGCAGAAAAUAGAUUCAACUGGCUUACACAGGGGUUGGCAAACAACAGCCUGUAGGUUGGCCACCUGUUUCACUGGAACAUGUUGACAUGCUCCCGUCUGCCAAGAGAAAGAGUGAUUUCUCCCCUGGGUGCGGAACAUAAAUUUUCAAUGAGAUUGUGCCAACUUAGGACAUGUGUCCGUCACUGGGCCAGCUGAGUUGUCAGAGAAGUGUUACAUCUCUGACCCAUGAGGAAGCCUCUGUGAUGACGGGAGGCUUGAACACAGCAGCAACAAGACACGCAGUGGUGAAUAAGUGGAGAAGGGCUGUGGGCCAAUUGGACCGCAAACCCUGGGAGCCUUGAGGGCUGCCCUUUCCCUGUCUUUACACAUUUGCUUCUCUCUCUAUCUGUGAUCAACUGGUUCUCCUCUUCUCUACCUGGUUUCUUUCACGUUUCCCAAAACAUGGUGGAAAUACAAAAGAAAGUAUCUCAAACUCAUGUCUCAUUUUCCAAGUCUUUCUUUCAAGUUUUUAGAGCUAACUUUUGAUAAUCCCAGUCAAGCGUUAAGAUCGUCCCUCAGCCAGAAGUGGGGUCAUGUUCUAAGGAGAUUCUCAGUAUAAUCAUGGGAACAGAGUCAGUCUACAAGAGAGAGAUAGGCAGGUGAGCCCAUGGGUAUUGGCUAACCAAAUUUAUUUCUUAUGUCAGAUGGUUCAAUAUUUUCCAUUCCAGGAAAUUGGUUGCAUUAAAAUUAUUUUUCAUUUGGGGAAAUACAGACACAAAAGGGGUUCAUUUAGACAAGAUACCAUGUCUUUCUUAUGAAGCUGCAAAGGUAGGAAUGUCGUUUGGCAUUUCUGCCCCUGUUUCAGUGUUCCAAGAUGGCAGUGAGUGUGUCUGAACUGUAGGCAGCAGAAAGGGGGAGGACUAAGAAGGGGCAAGAGUUACAUACCAAUUGCCAUUUAAGGAAAAUUCCAGAAGAUGACAUAUCCAAGUUGAGCAACCCUAAUCUCAAACUCUGAAAUGUUCCAAAACUGGAAAUAAUUUGAACACUGCAAUGACACCACAAUUGGAAAAUCCCACAUCAUGAAAUACCAUUUUAUACUCCAAAUUAUUAUAAGCACUCUAUAAAAUUGCUUUAAGGGUAGGUAUAUCUGAAAAAUAAAUGAAUUUUGUGUUGAGACUUGUGUCCCAGUCACAAAACAUAUCAUAAUUAUAUACGUGGAAAUGGUGCUGGGGUUAUAGCUCCAUUGGUAGACUUCUUGCCUAACAUUCACAAAGCCCUUGUUCCACUUCCUAGCACCUGCAGUCCAGGAAAUGGAGACAGAAGGCCCAGAAGUUCAAGGUCAUCCUCAUCUAUAUAGUGACUUCAAGAAAAAUUACAAAAAAAAGGCAAAUAUUCAAAAACCUAAAGGAAAAUAAUCCAAAAUUCCGAGCACUUUUGGCCCCAAGCACUUUGAAUAAGGGAAACUCCACCGGUCAUUCUUUUCAAGGGACACAGUCUCUUUCUUCUUCACAGACAUCCAUUUGCCCGUCUUUUUAUAAAAUAAACCUAGUUUCUAUUACUAUGGAGUAAGAAAACGUGUACUGAGGGAUUGAUACCUUCUCUCCAUACUAAGCAUUCAAUUUCAAGCUAUGCAAGACUAAAACCACUUCUUCAAACAUUUUAUGAUGUAGGUUUUUAAAUUGUUUUCUUAAUUGUAUGUGUGUCAGUAUUUUAUUCUAACCUAUGUCUGUAUACCACUUGCAUGGCUGGUGUCCGUGGAGGCCAGAAGGGGGUGCUGGAUCUCCUGAAGCAGGAGUUACGGGGGUUGUGAGCCUCUGUGUGGGUGCUGGAAAUUGAACCUGGGUCCUCUGGAAGAACAGCCAGUGCUCUUACACGGAGCUAUCUCUCCAGCCCCAAAGCACUUUAUUGUUAUUGCGUUUAUUUUGUAUUAACAAAUAGUUAUUUCUGUUUCUGAAGUACAAUGGGAUAUUCUGGUCUAAUUAUAUAUGGCAGAAAGAGUCCAUCAAGACAACUGAUAUAUUGCAAUAGUUGGAUAUGGGAUGUCUCCCAGAGGCUUGUAUGUUCAAGGCUUAGUCUCCGGUACGGCAACCUCCAGAGGGGGAGCUUGGAGGAAGUGACUGGAUUCUGAGGGCUCUGGCGUCAGCGGAUCUAGCAGAAGGAAGUGAGUCCUGGGGGCAUGGCCUCGGAGUCUGUGUCACUCAGCCCUCUUUGUCCAGCUGUCACCAAGUGAGCAGCCUUGCUCUGCCACGUGCUCCUAGCCGUGACCUUCUGCCUCACUGUAGAAAGCAGAGCCAAAGACCACAGAGGGAAAUCUCUGAAGCCAGGGGCCAAAACAAAAUAAACAAAUAAAUCUUGCCAUCUUUAAGUUAA